UCGAAGCAAUCAACCAUUUCUACACUUUCUUUCAUCGACAAAUAAAGAACAACUCAAAGUCUCUCUAUUUUUUUAUUCCAAACCUGAUUUCUUGGCACCUUCAAGUUCAAUUUUUACAGUUCUAUUGUCUUCUAAACAAUAUCUUCCGUAAUCGGCCACACAAAAAAAUCAUUUUUCAUUUCCAACUCCUAUCAUGUUUUUCCUAUUUUCAUCAUUUGGACUUACUUAUGGAGGAUUGCCUAGAGUUUGUCUCAAUGUACUCUCAAUUAAACAUAGAUCAAGAUCAAAUGAAGAUAGACAACGCAACAUGAGGACAGAACCAAGAACAUGAAAAAGAUAACGAGGAACAACUGCCAAAUUAAUUCCAGACAGUAGUAGCCUUGGCUAUUUCAUUUUUAUUGGGUAUCAUUGUGCCAGUUUUUACUGCUGCAUUUAUAGCAAAUUAUAAGGUCAGAUUGGCUGUGAAUGAUGAAUGUGGUUGCAAUGAGCUUGCCAGUUGUCAUUAUUAGCAUUUGGAGGAAUUGGUACUUUUUUAAGCACAAGUCCUAUGGUGAAAUCUUGUCAAAGAGUUUUAAUUGGAGGCAAGAUGGCUAUGGCCAUUACUUGUUGCCUUGCUAAGCUGAUUGGCUCUACUACAAGUAUUUCUUUCUAUUUUGGAUCUACGUGCAGAUGUGGUCCUAAUCGAGAAUGAAAAAGGCGAGAGAAGGAAAAAUCAAAGAAGGAACAACAAAUAACUGUGCCAAAGUAAUGCAUACUUAUUAGUUGAACAUUAAUUAGUUUAUGUAGGAUACAAUCAUCAACACUUGCAGAUUAGUGGAUUACCAACUUGAAUAGAAAGUGUCGAAUUCAGUAUUGUAAAUUGCGGAUGACGAAGUUGAUUUCCUUGUGGUAUUGAAUAAUUCUCACCAUGUGAGCUAACUUUUGAAAUUAAAUUAGAUUAAAAGUUCAUUUUUCUUAUUAUAUAAUGUUUAUAAUUGUAUUAAUAUUUUUAUGGUUCUACUAAUUUAAACUUAUAAAAUGACAUAUACUCUA